rnacentral:rRNA from 1 species
CCUACGGGUGGCAGCAGUGGGGAAUAUUGCGCAAUGGGCGAAAGCCUGACGCAGCGACGCCGCGUGAGGGAUGAAGGUCUUCGGAUCGUAAACCUCUGUCAGCAGGGAAGAACGGUCACUGUGCUAAUCAGCAGUGAAUUGACGGUACCUGCAAAGGAAGCACCGGCUAACUCCGUGCCAGCAGCCGCGGUAAUACGGAGGGUGCGAGCGUUAAUCGGAAUUACUGGGCGUAAAGCGCUCGUAGGCGGUAUGUCAAGUCAAGGGUGAAAUCCCCGCGCUCAACGUGGGAACUGCCUUUGAAAAUGGGAAACUGGGGUGUGUGAGAGGAUAGGGGAAUUUCAGGUGGAGGGGGGAAAACCGGAGAUAACUGGAGGAA